GUCACAUCAUAUAGAUAGCAUAAUAUUGUUCAUCCAUUGACAAAAUCUUAUCUGAAAGCCUGUACAAUCAAAAUAUCAUUAAACUAUAUUAAAUUUUUAUCAUUAACAAUAAAUCCAUAGUUGAGCAGCCAAGCCCAAACGUUUGUGGCUAUAGACACCUUGCAUAUAUUCAUUGCAAUGCUCUAUUGCACUCUUGGCUUGCAAAGAUCAUCUGCAUGAUGUUUAUGCAUGACAGGUAUCUUAUUGUUCAGUAAAUUCCUGAGAAAUGAAUAGAAUAACUAUACUACAGGUUCGGUACUCCACUUGGGGUGAAUCCGGUUCUCUACUGAAACUUGAAAGCCCUCUUACCAGCUCCCAGGCUGUACUGCAAUCAAUUUCUUGCUGAUGAAAAUUAUUCAUGUUAUGCGUAAAUGGGGAAUACUUUGACAUGACUUUGUCUGUACGGUCCAGUCUUCACAUAUUGUUUGAAGCAAAUGGAUCAUAAUUUGGAUGAAGCACCUGAGAGAGCAUGACUGACCAGCUCCCGCCUCAGGAUCUUCCCUGCUGCAGUUUUUGGGAUAGAAUUGAUAAAAGCUACUCGCCUUAUCUUCUUGUACGGUGCAACCUGUUCUGCGAUGAAAUCCAUAGUCUGAGCCUCAGUAAUAUUGCUUCCCGGUUUUCUAACUACAUAGGCCAUGGGAAUUUGCCCAGCCUCUUCAUCAGGAUAACUGCUUCCAGAAAACACAAGACGACGAUGAAAUGACAGGACUUGUUAGCUCUUCACUAGGAAUGCAUAACCGCCAUGAAAUUCUAUAAACAAGCUAAUACACCAUGGGAAAAUAUGAAACUAGUCUUCUUCCAUAUUCUUUGCCCCUCAAAAUAUUGGCCUUCUAUACAACUAGAUUCCAAGCUUUUGGCCCUUGAACUUGUUGAAAUCCAAUAUGGUGAACAAUGUUGCUAUUAUUUCUAACCAUUCACCAAGAGAGGAAAAUAACGAUUACCCCCAUGAUUAUUAUUAUCAAUUAAAAUUGUCAUAACAAGCCUCUCUAAAAUUGACAAUUUACAGAUUUAGACAAUUUUUAUUUAAUGCAAAAAUCCCUGAAAAUAUAAAAUGGUUUCAACAAGUAAUUCAUCUUUAUUGGGAUUCUCAACAGAUGAAUCUCUUUCACUUUAAUCACAUUUCAAGUUAUUGAAUUGGCUAAGAACAUCUUGUCAAUUUAUUGAUCCAGCAAAGGUGAAGCAAAAGCAAGAAUGAAGGUAGCAAACAAAAAAUGUGAAGAAACUGUACGUAUGCCUCCUAUGCUGUAUAUUGCCCAACAAAUUCAGAGAACUACAGAAGAAUCUAUGCCUUAAGAGCAGUACUAUACUACUAAACACUAACAUUAUUUUGUAUUUUUCAAUUGGGCCCUA
rnacentral:misc_RNA from 1 species